GGUCACUUGGUGCAGUGGUUAAGCUACCCGUUUCCAAAAAACCCGGACUCGGGCUGUCGCCGGGGGUUCGAAUCCCCUCGUGACUG